GGAAGGAUGGCAUUGUUGGUUAAGGCACUGGACUAGAACUCAAGAGACCCAGGCUCAAUUCCUGGCUCUGUCA
rnacentral:tRNA from 1 species